rnacentral:tRNA from 1 species
GAGGGUAUAGCUCAGUGGUAGAGUGCAUGCCUAGCAUGUACGAGUCCUGGGUUCAGUCCCCAGUGCCUUCA